GCCAAUUUAGCUCAGCUGGUAGAGCAACGCAUUCGUAAUGCGUAGGUCUGGGGUUCGAGUCCCCAAAUUGGCUCGA
rnacentral:tRNA from 1 species